rnacentral:tRNA from 2 species
AGAGACUUAGGAUAACACCAAGACCAAGAGCCUUCAAAGCUCUAAGUAGAAGUGAAAACCUUCUAGUCCCUG